UGUACAAGUGUGUGUGUAUGCACACGUGUGUGUGUGUGUGUGCGCACACACACACACACACACACACACACAUGUAUG